UGAACCUUCUCUAUGACAGAGAACGUCUACCAAAAUUAAAUAUAUUUAAAUGAAUGCAUUAAAUUUCAAUAGUGAUGAUUGUAAUAAUGAGCAAGAUUUCGUUGGCGAACAAAAAAUUCCAAGUUGUUCAAACGGUCGGAACUCACAAAUAAGUCACAAUAUUAUGAGAUAUGACAAUUUAAGUGAAAGUUCAAGUACACCAGAUUCGUUGAAAAAUGAAGAAUUGGUUGGUGUAAGAUUCUCUUUAGUGAGAAAUUUUUCAAAAUUGUGGAGACGAUGAACAAAACUCCUCAUCAAAGAAGAAUGUGUGGCUUAAUUGGUAGUUGUCAAGUGUGCGGAAAAAAAUUAAAGGUUCGCUUCGUAUUAGUUCCAAUUUUAUCAAGCAUUUGAAAAAGGAACACCAACAAAAAUUUUGCGAGUUCAAGUGAAUCAAAGAUGAAAGAAGGCGUAAGCCGCAAAAGCUCUUUUAACCAUGACAUUUUGGAUUUUAUUUGCAACACAACGUCUCCCUUGUCCACAGUCAGUAACCAAAGUUUUAAAAAACUAUUUCCUGGUAAAAGUUACUUUUCGAGAGCCACACUAAAUAUGUUCAAAAUCUGGUCAUUGAGCUGAAGAACAUUGAAUACGUGUGCGUAACUGCAGAUGUAUGGUCAGGUGGAAAAAAAUCAUUUUUUGGUAAAUAAGCAAUAUAAAUUACCCGUGGAAAAAAUGGUUUAUACGAUUACUGACAAUGGAUCUAACUUCGUUAAGGCAUUUAAAGAAUUUGGAGUUAAAUGUAUUUAAUCCAAAUCAAUAUAUUCAAUUAUUGAUUCUCAUUGAUUUAGGACCUAUAAAUGAAUGUGACAGUGAUGACGGAUCUGACUCUGAUUCCGAUUCAAAUGACUCAAUAAUUGCUUUAGGUCCUCAAUUUCGAUCUGUAACUCCACGCCUGUCAAAACACUUUCCUUGUGCAAGCCACACUUCAAAUCUUUUGGCUUCAACCGAUUUCAACAAAAUUUUUAAUUCAUCAAGUCAGGAUAUUAAAAAUAUUCACAAAAGAUCUUUCCAAAGAUGCACACAGCUUUGGAAUAAAUGCAAUAGACCAAAAUCUGCAGAAGUAGUUAAUGAAGUUAUAAACGCGAAUUUAAUAACUCCAUGCAUAACAAGGUGGAACUCUCUUUAUGAUUCCGUUACGAAGUUGCUGCAACACAAAACCAAUUUAGCAGAAUUGUGUUACCGUUUAAAAAUUCCUACCAUUCUCAGCGAAGAAGUUGAGUACUUAGAAGAGUACGCAAAGCUUAUGAGGCCUAUUGCAGAAGCGAUCGACUUCCUUCAGGGCGAAAAGACCAUGUAUUUUGGUUACUUUAUCCCCACUAUAGUGACUUUGAGAAUAAAACUACGUCGUUUGGAGCCUGCAAGCUUUAAGUAUUUAUCCGAAAUAAGCGAAAAAAUGCAAAUAGCUUUGCUUAAAAGAUUUGAAAAGUACUUCCUGAUUCAGUCUGAUGCUAGGGACGCUGUUAUUGCCGCUAUUUCUGUCCCUGACAUUAAAUUGCGAUUUUUAAAAGCCCUUUUAGAAACAGCAACGACGGAAACAGAGAAGUGAAAAAAAUGUUCAACACUUAUGUGGUGAAGUAUGGAAAGAUAGCAGAUGACGCAACACGUGUUCCGCCUCAAACUACUCAAAAACCUUCCUUGAUUUCGGGGAAGAAAGUAAUGAUAUAAGCAUACAGAGUGGUUCCACUGACUCCGGCAAUUAUCUUCAGGAAACGCUUUUAUACCUGGUGGAACGAGACGCCACAACAAGUUGUUUAAAUAAACA